rnacentral:rRNA from 1 species
GACGAACGCUGGCGGCGUGCUUAACACAUGCAAGUCGAACGGAAAGGCCCUUCGCGGUACUCGAGUGGCGAACGGGCGAGUAACACGUGGGUGAUCUGCUCUGCACUUUGUGAUAAGCCUGGGAAACUGGGUCUAAUACCGAAUAGGACCACGCGCUUCAUGGUGUGUGGUGGAAAGCUUUUGCGGUGUUGGAUGGGCCCGCGGCCUAUCAGCUUGUUGGUGGGGUAAUGGCCUACCAAGGCGACGACGGGUAGCCGGCCUGAGAGGGUGACCGGCCACAAUGGGACUGAGAUACGGCCCAGACUCCUACGGGAGGCAGUAGUGGGGAAUAUUGCACAAUGGGCGCAAGCCUGAUGCAGCGACGCCGCGUGAGGGAUGACGGCCUUCGAGUUGUAAACCUCUUUCAAUAGGGACGAAGCGCAAGUGACGGUACCUAUAGAAGAAGCACCGGCCAACUACGUG